rnacentral:lncRNA from 1 species
UUCGUACUUUCUCACUUUAGUAUUCUGUGAUUUAAAGUGUAUCGAUUUAGUACUCUAUAAUUUUUUUUUCUUAUUAUCUCUUUUACUAAUUUUUUUGUUUAAUUAGUGACAAAGUUAAAACUAAAAUGUAUUAAAUUGAAUAUUCGAUAAAUCCUAGAUAGAGUAUAUGAAGUUUUUUUGUAUAUAAUAUGGCAAAAUGUAAACGGAUGAGCUGCCAAAAAGAGAGAAAUAAAAUCUACAAAGUAUUAAAUUGAUACAACCUUAAAUUAGACGG